rnacentral:rRNA from 1 species
ACAGGUGCUGCAUGGCUGUCGUCAGCUCGUGCCGUGAGGUGUUCGGUUAAGUCCGGCAACGAGCGCAACCCGUGUCACUAGUUACCGGCAUGUAAUGGUGGGGACUCUAGUGAGACUGCCUGUGUUAAGCAGGAGGAAGGCGCGGAUGACGUCAAGUCAGUAUGGCCCUUACGUCCGGGGCUGCACACGUGCUACAAUGGGGGGUACAAUGGGAUGCAAUGUCGCGAGGCGGAGCAAAUCCACAAAACCUCCCUUAGUUCAGAUUGCAGUCUGCAACUCGACUGCAUGAAGUUGGAAUCGCUAGUAAAGGCGUAUCAGCUACGACGCCUUGAAUACGUUCCCGGGCCUUGUACACACCGCCCGUC